rnacentral:rRNA from 1 species
GUUAUAUGGUCAAGCGAAUAAGCGCACACGGUGGAUGCCUUGGCGGUCAGAGGCGAUGAAGGACGUGGCAGCCUGCGAAAAGUAUCGGGGAGCUGGCAACAAGCUUUGAUCCGGUAAUGUCCGAAUGGGGAAACCCACCCGCUUGCGGGUAUCCUGCAGUGAAUACAUAGCUGCUGGAAGCGAACCUGGUGAACUGAAAUAUCUAAGUAACCAGAGGAAAAGAAAUCAACCGAGAUUCCGUAAGUAGCGACGAGCGAACGCGGACUAGCCCUUAAGCUGAUUUGGUUCUAGGAAAACGCUCUGGAAAGAGCGGCCAUAGAAGGUGAUAGCCCUGUAUCUGAAAGGGCCAUUUCAGUGAAGACGAGUAGGGCGGGGCACGUGAAACCCUGUCUGAACAUGGGGGGACCAUCCUCCAAGGCUAAAUACUACUGACCGACCGAUAGUGAACCAGUACCGUGAGGGAAAGGCGAAAAGAACCCCGGAGAGGGGAGUGAAAUAGAACCUGAAACCGUGUGCGUACAAGCAGUAGGAGCUCCGCAAGGAGUGACUGCGUACCUUUUGUAUAAUGGGUCAGCGACUUACUGUUCGUGGCAAGCUUAACCGUAUAGGGGAGGCGAAGGGAAACCGAGUCUGAUAAGGGCGCAUAGUCGCGGGCAGUAGACCCGAAACCGGGUGAUCUAGUCAUGCCCAGGGUGAAGGUGCGGUAACACGCACUGGAGGCCCGAACCCACUCCCGUUGCAAAGGUAGGGGAUGAGGUGUGAUUAGGAGUGAAAAGCUAAUCGAACCCGGAGAUAGCUGGUUCUCCUCGAAAGCUAUUUAGGUAGCGCCUCAUAUGUAUCCUCUCGGGGGUAGAGCACUGUUAUGGCUAGGGGGUCAUCGCGACUUACCAAACCAUUGCAAACUCCGAAUACCGAGACGGACUGUAUGGGAGACACACGGCGGGUGCUAACGUCCGUCGUGAAAAGGGAAACAACCCAGACCCACAGCUAAGGUCCCAAAUUUUGUGCUAAGUGGAAAACCAUGUGGAAAGGCACAGACAGCCAGGAGGUUGGCUUAGAAGCAGCCACCCUUUAAAGAAAGCGUAAUAGCUCACUGGUCGAGUCGGUCUGCGGGGAAGAUUUAACGGGGCUAAGCACAGAACCGAAGCUUGGGGUGCAUAACUUUGUUAUGCGCGGUAGAGGAGCGUUCCGUAAGCCGUUGAAGGUGGAUUGAGAAGUCUGCUGGAGGUAUCGGAAGUGCGAAUGCUGACAUGAGUAACGAUAAUGCGGGUGAAAAACCCGCACGCCGAAAGCCCAAGGUUUCCUUGCGCAACGUUAAUCGGCGCAGGGUGAGUCGGCCCCUAAGGCGAGGACGAAAGUCGUAGUCGAUGGGAAGCAGGUUAAUAUUCCUGCACCUCGCGUAAGUGCGAUGGAGGGACGGAGAAGGUUAGGUGUACCAGGCGUUGGUUGUCCUGGGGAAAGGCGGUAGGUUUGGAUCUUUGGCAAAUCCGGGAUCCUUUAAGACCGAGCACCGAGACGAGCCUUUAAGGCGAAGUCACUGAUACCACGCUUCCAGGAAAAGCUCCUAAGCUUCAGCUUACGCAGACCGUACCGUAAACCGACACAGGUGGGUAGGAUGAGAAUUCUCAGGCGCUUGAGAGAACUCGGGUGAAGGAACUAGGCAACAUGGCACCGUAACUUCGGGAGAAGGUGCACCCUUUUUGGUGGCUCAUGCGAGCUAUAGCUGAAGAGGGUCGCAGUAACCAGGCCGCUGCGACUGUUUAUCAAAAACACAGCACUCUGCAAACACGAAAGUGGACGUAUAGGGUGUGACGCCUGCCCGGUGCUGGAAGGUUAAUUGAUGGGGUCAGCCGCAAGGCGAAGCUCUUGAUCGAAGCCCC